AUGAAGUUCUAUGUUUUAGUUCUAAUCUUCUUCGCGGUUUUUGCUGCUACUAGGCCUUGCUUUGUAAGCUCUAGAAUCCUUCAAUCACCAACAAAGACAGAAAAAACCACUCAUGAACCUAUCAAAGAACUUCACCAUCUCAUAGCUUCAAUGACAACCGAGAAGGUCAACACCGAGUAUAAGAUGAUGAGAAACAGGAUUUUGGUCGAUAGCCAAUUUCAUACCAUGACUUCUGGACCAAGCAGUAGAGGUUCAGGUCACUAA